ACAAGGAUGAGUCAAGCCAAGUGGAGACAUCCAAUCAGGAAAGCACCUCCCUAACCACCCGAGAAUGUAGGCCCUGCCUUUUGGGCACCAAUUCUGACCAGAGUGAUAGGCUAGUUCAAAUAGCUACUAUAGGGUGAAUUGUAAUUCAGUUGGCCACCUGUGUGUGGCCAGGCUCAACCGCAUGACCUUUACUCUAUAAAAGUUAGUCUGUGAGGCUGGGAGGGGUCGCCUCUUUGCAAGAGAUGGCCCUCGCUGGUCAGUUUGAUUCUCAAUGCUUGGCGUGAAAUAAAGCUUUCCUUGACCUUCACUUUGUAUCAGUCUUGCUCCUUUGACCAUGGACCCAACAUUGGGGGCUCUCCGGGAUCAAAUGACGAGAACUGAGCCAGCAUCAGAAUUUCUGGGAAAAGCCUCCAGAGUUGGGUGUGACCUGCGUAACUGGCCUCUAGACCAUCCUUGGUGCUUCCUGCACCCACCACAGCUCCUUCUCUCCUCACUGUCGGGAAACAAGAAGAGCAGCCCCUGGACUUAACACCCUCCACUCCGGAUCUUCCCACCCGUGUCUCAGGCAUUACAGUCUAUCUCAAAAAGAACCCAUUCAGGGAUCCGAACUGCCCACACUGAGAAGAGAUGGAUGUGGAACCACAUCCUUACCAACCCAAGGACCAUUGGAUGCGCUGUUGCCAAGUGGAAAACUUGGAGCCUUGCUGGAAGGGAUCUUUACUGUCAUCCUGACCACACCCAUGGCAGUAAAAGUAGAAGACACCAGGGCCUGGAUUCACGCGGGUUAUGUCAAACAAGCCGAGGACGAGGAUGUCCCCCUAGAGAUGAAAGCUGCUGCCAAUGGACUCCACUGACCAUGGAUUAAAGCUAAGACUCAAAAGACUAUGAGUUCAUUGUUGCUCCUAUUGUUACCUGUUUAUGUAAAAGCUUCUAAGUCACCUCAUAAGACAGAAAAGUAUAGGUGAAAAAUUAAAUGAACGGAAUUAAGAGAAGUGAAAAGGUUAUACAAAACAGCGAAUGGCUAACUCAUCAGUUGACUGUGCACUAAUGUUACUUUUUGGCCCCUGCAUUAUAAACGCCCUAAUGUCAUUUGUAAAAAAGAAAAAAAAAUUAGAGCGAUAAAAAUGUUAGUUGUACAUGCUCAGUAUAACCCCUUACAACAGAAGAACAGAACUGGCUGAAAAGUCAAGGAUUUGACUAAUCUCCAAAGAAAAGGGGGGAAUGUAAGGGCCUACUUAGCCAGAGCGAGCCAUUUUGUUGUUUUUGCAGUAAACUUAGAUUGACCAUGCCCCCCACACACACACUGCUCCCUGAGAGGAACUUACUUAGAAACAAGUCUGGGAAACCAGUAAAAUAUGAUUGACCAGCCCCUGACAACAGAGCCCAUUUGCCAGGAUGUGUCAGCUCAGGGGGAGGUAACAGAGCCCAGAAUACAAGGAUGGGUCAAGCCAGUGGAGACAUCCAAUCAGGAAAGCACCUCCCUAACCACCCGAGAAUGUAGGCCCUGCCUUUUGGGCACCAAUUCUGACCAGAGUGAUAGGCUAGUUCAAAUAGCUACUAUAGGGUGAAUUGUAAUUCAGUUGGCCACCUGUGUGUGGCCAGGCUCAACCGCAUGACCUUUACUCUAUAAAAGUUAGUCUGUGAGGCUGGGAGGGGUCGCCUCUUUGCAAGAGAUGGCCCUCGCUGGUCAGUUUGAUUCUCAAUGCUUGGCGUGAAAUAAAGCUUUCCUUGACCUUCA